rnacentral:misc_RNA from 1 species
ACAAACUUGGUCAUUUAGAGGAAGUAAAAGUCGUAACAAGGUCUCCGUUGGUGAACCAGCGGAGGGAUCAUUACAAAAGCGAGUCCUCGCGGCUCCGAAACCCUAUGUGAACUAUAUCUCUUAUACCAGUUGCUUUUGGCAGGCGGUCCCGCCCCUCGGCCCUCGCGGCCGGCGGGGUGGGGCCCGGGGGGUCCGUGUCUAGGCGGGCGCCUGCCGAGCGGCGAAACCAAACCCUUUGUAAUCAUUGGACCUCUGAGUAAACCAAAAAAUCUAUUAAAACUUUCAACAACGGAUCUCUUGGUUCUGGCAUCGAUGAAGAACGCAGC